ACGUCGGACGAGCUGGUCAACCUCUCACGCGCCUCGUCUUUGUACGCUAGCUUGCUGUGCUAUCGUGUUCGACCGGAGGUGUUCCUCAGAUGGCAGGCGCGAUGGCCCCCGAACGAGUGUGUUUGCACGUCACAGGAGUCGGCGACGAGAGCCAGUCCUGCGCACGCGUGCAGAUCGGCGGCACUUGCGUCCCAGUCCUAUGCGGCGGGCACGUGGAUCAAGUCAGAGGGCAUUACACGUGUAUCCGGCACACUCGGGUUUCAAUUCCCCGUGGCCGCACCUCUGGUCCCAGUCGAGCCCUGCAACUUGUGCAACGGUGAAAUCGACGCCAACGAACUACGCUUCGUGGUGUGCACAAAUCCGUUGCAGUGCUGCCGUGUGUGCAUGCACUGCUACACGCGACUGGUACUGGGGCAUGCGAGUGGAGAGGGGGCUCCUGUCGACCAAUUGGGGCAGGUUUGCCCCACUGCGGUGCGGUGCACGGCAGGGUGCCGAAAAGCGGGCAGCUUUCUCAUGGUUCCGACGCUGAGUGAGCUGAUGCACGCGAACGGCCUUAACCUGCGAUACCUGGCGUACGUUCUGCAUCGUUUACCGCAGGCAACACGAGCUGCAGUCGAGCACUGGUGCCACGUGGAGAUGGUCGCGCGAACGGCGAAGCACCUCCUGCAGCACGAUCUCCGCAGCGCCACCACCCCAUUAGAAGCACAGGCAACGUGUGAGGCUUUGUUGACCUCACUUCUGCAGCCAACUGGUGCCGCCUCAGAGCGAUUCUGGCGCACUCGUUUGGGGCCAGCGCUCCAGUCGCGGUUUCUCGGAAUGUGCAGCCCCUUUCACCUCUCCGUGCACGCGCUACGACUGGUCGCCGAGCGAGUUGCGGCGUUGGCCGGGGUGACCUUGUCGGAGUCGUGCUUGUCUUCCUUGGCAUCACUUUCUGCGCCGACGAAUCCAAAGAUAGUACGUCGGCGAACCGAUAGCGACACUGAGACGAACAACGGUGAGGCAGACCCUCUAAGCACCGCGGCCGCAACGGACACCGGCGGUGCUUUCGUUGAAAUCAAACACAUUGCACCGCUAAUUCUGGUGUUCCCAGCACCGCCCAUGGAGCCACCCUUGCCAUCCCUACCCGCGUCAGAGGAUGUAGGUGAAGAGAGCGGCCCGCAAGGGUGUUCUCCAGCAAAGCGCCGUGCUGAGAGGCUUCUGCUGUUCUGGAUUGGGCACACCCCGGAAGGGGCAGAUGACGCGCAGCAGCCUUUUUACCUGGACGAGUCCGUGCUGCACAUGGCCCUCCGGUAAAUAGUGGAGGCGAGUAAACAGGCAAAGAAAGAAACACCCACUUAGAAGAAUGUGCAUGCGCCACUGCAGUCAUGGAUGUCGUCGUGGUGUUCCUGUGCACAGGAAGUCAUGGGCAGACGCAAGCGUCUCGCUUUGCCGCCACUCCACGCCUCUACGGCAGAACUCCG
rnacentral:misc_RNA from 1 species